rnacentral:rRNA from 1 species
CGAACGCUGGCGGCAGGCCUAAUACAUGCAAGUCGAACGGCUCUUCGGAGCAGUGGCGGACGGGUGAGUAACGCGUGGGAAUGUGCCCUUAGGUACGGAACAACACAGGGAAACUUGUGCUAAUACCGUAUGUGCCCUUCGGGGGAAAGAUUUAUCGCCUUUGGAGCAGCCCGCGUUGGAUUAGCUAGUUGGUGAGGUAAAGGCUCACCAAGGCGACGAUCCAUAGCUGGUCUGAGAGGAUGAUCAGCCACACUGGGACUGAGACACGGCCCAGACUCCUACGGGAGGCAGCAGUAGGGAAUCUUGCGCAAUGGGCGAAAGCCUGACGCAGCCAUGCCGCGUGAAUGAUGAAGGUCUUAGGAUUGUAAAAUUCUUUCACCGGGGAAGAUAAUGACGGUACCCGGAGAAGAAGCCCCGGCUAACUUCGUGCCAGCAGCCGCCGCAGUAA